CCCAGAGCUCCGCUCGUGUUACCGAGGUCACUUCGACCCACCGAACAGCAAUGUUUUGCUUAGUUAUAUGAGUUGGGAACAGGCAGGCGUGCUACAUAAACGCUGCUUUACCAACAGAGGGAAAGAGUUCACAGGUCUCCGGCACGGCAGCAGGCUGCGAAGAGGAGCAGGGAAGAACAAAGGGAGUCGCGUUCUUUGGAAAACUUUGAAUCCCUGAGUUGAAGAUUCAUCAUGACAAGCCCUCAGCACAUAUCUGAAUAAAGACACGG
rnacentral:lncRNA from 1 species